AAAGCUAUUUCAACCCCCCUCCCAGUUACUGCCACCCUCUCCCAGGUCUAGAGAGGGGUACCCACGGUGGAGGGAGGUGGGAGGCCGAGACGGCCCCGGGGGUCGGCGGAGACCCAGCGGGAGCAGGGGGAAAUCGGAAGAGCUGGGGGCAUGGAGCGGGCGAGUUUGGAGCGGAAUGAGCCGGGAGCCCUACGUUGUGGAAGGAAGACAACAGUAUAGGACCAUCAGCAGGACCGGACAGAGAGGGGCACGGUUUCUCUGUAUAGCCCUGGCUGUCCUGGAACUUGUAGACCAGGCUGGCCUUGAACUCAGAAAUCCGCCUGCCUCUGACUCCCGAGUGCUGAGAUUAAAGGUGUGCACCACCACACCCGACAAGGAAGCCUGUUUUAAGAAGUGAUUCCAUGGAGGAGUUCUGCGGCGGCUCAGGGCUUGACUAAACAGUGGACCUCAGACAAGAGAGGCUAAACCAGGCUGCAGGUGACAGGAAGAAUUGAAUAAACUGAAAGCAAAGGGCAGCCUUCUAAUUACGCUUCGUGGCUAUGUGGACAACCUGGAGAAGUCUGGAAACAAGCCAGAAGCCCGAAGCCAGCAGUAGAGCUCUGACUGGCUUGUAUGCCUAGAAAGGAAGGGCUCUUCUUUCGCCUCACGGGCACAAAUGGGACCCACGAGCGCCGAUUUCAGACUAUUCUGAUCCCUUCAAAAAGAAAGUUAGGAGUCCAGGCUACUUCACUUUGGUGAUAGUAAUCAAACCCUAAUCACGGUGCAGCCACAAGUCACAGAGACCGAAAUAGCAGACUUAUGACAGACAAGGAUGGAGACAGCUAAGGAACUGGCUAUUAAUCACCAGUCCCUCUGCUCACAGCCCAUUGGACCCGAGGGUGAAGGAUGAGGAGGAUGGAAGAAAAUGGGAGUGGCGCUUGCUGCAAAGGGUCUCGAAGGGUCUCAGCACCUGCGAACUGGCUCCAAUCCAAACUCCACUAUUCAUGGUCAAGUUCACAUAGGGCUUGGGGUUCUAACAAGAUGUGACUAAACUUA
rnacentral:lncRNA from 1 species